rnacentral:rRNA from 1 species
GCUUCCUACGGGAGGCAGCAGGGAGGAAUAUUGGGCAAUGGGGGAAACCCUGACCCAGCAACGCCGCGUGAAGGAAGAAGGCCUUCGGGUUGUAAACUUCUGUGACAGGGGAAGAAAGAAAUGACGGUACCCUGAGAGGAAGCCACGGCAAACUACGUGCCAGCAGCCGCGGUAAUACGUAGGUGGCGAGCGUUGUCCGGAAUCACUGGGCGUAAAGGGCGCGUAGGCGGUUAUUCAAGUCACAUGUGAAAUACCAGGGCUCAACCUUGGGGGGUCAUGUGAAACUGGAUGACUUGAGUGCAGUAGAGGAAAGCGGAAUUCCUGGUGUAGCGGUAAAAUGCGUAGAGAUCAGGAGGAACACCGGUGGCGAAGGCGGCUUUCUGGGCUGUAACUGACGCUGAGGCGCGAAAGCGUGGGGAGCAAACAGGAUUAGAUACCCUGGUAGUCCACGCUGUAAACGAUGAUUACUAGGUGUAGGGGACGCAGGUCUUCUGUGCCGGAGCAAACGCAAUAAGUAAUCCGCCUGGGGAGUACGGCCGCAAGGUUGAAACUC